rnacentral:lncRNA from 1 species
GUAAUGUAGGUUGAGAAGAUAGAAAAGAAACUUACGGAUUUACGCUAAAUAUGAUUCCAUGGUCCACAACUCCAGCAAUCUGAUCCAGACUUUCUGCUACUUGGCCUAAAUGAGAAAACAGAAAGCACAUAAAGAAUCUUUAAUUAGAAAGAUUAAAAAAAAAGAAAAAGAAAAAUCCCUCUACCUAUAUAUAAAUAAACAAAAAAAAAAAAGCAAAGUAUUUUGUGAAGAGAACAAAACAUCAGAAAAAAUAUAGGCCAUAUAAUGAAUAAAAAAGAGAAUGUUAUUUUUAACUUGCAUUAACAAAUUCCUAUUUGGACAGCACUCUAACAAUGUUAAGAUGCUUGAUUAAAGAAAAGAAUCUAAAAAUGCUCUUUGCUUAAAAUCAUUAUUCGUGAGUAAUAUUCUGGAUACUUAUGCAGCAUCCAAAGUGUCGCUAAUGAGCUGACGGUGCUGCAAGGUGUGCACGUGAACCAAUCAGCGUGCGCCGCGCAUGAAUGCCAACAUAUUAGAAAUUUCAAGAGGAACUUUCGAAGGUGGCUAUAGAGCACUUUAAUUUCAUUGUUAGGAGCUAAAUUCUCUACAAAUGAAGUGUGUAACCACAAUGAACUUUUACCUAAAUCAAGUAUGGGAGAAGUGAAAAUAACAUCAAGAACAUGAUGUCCUUCUCUUGUAACCAGAGGGAAAUCACCUCCCAUUGGGUCUGCUUGUCCAGAUGUUGGCCUUCUCCACACCUUCAAUAUUAGAUAUUAAACCACAUAAACAUCAGCAAGAUUCCAAUAAGCAGGUACUACAUUUUUAGAUUUUUUUGGCCUAGCUGGAGCUUCUACUUGAAUAGUUUUUGAAUGAGUUUUUAAACUAGAGCUUUUUACUUUUGCGACCCAGAAGCUCAUUUUCAAUAAAACUAAAACUCAGAACAUCAAAAUGAAGUGAUGGGCUUAGAAAGACAAAAGCUCUAAGCGUCUUGCUCUGAAACAAUCAUUUCUCUCUGAAAACUUAAUCUGCUAAUAUCUUAUAUUGAACACACAGAAAGAAGCAAACCUCGGCAUCUCCCAGGAACAAGUCAUCUAUUUCCUCAGCAGUUUCCAUCCAAUUACCCUGAAAAGAAGUGUGUGCGCCUUUUGAUUGUUCAUGUUUUACAUGAUACUCAGAUUCUUCUGUGUUCUACCGACAAUAGAAAGUAGCAUACACAAUUAACUAACACUGGAAUUGAUCCAUCCACAUCUCUGGUGUACUGCUUCUCAGCAACAAUUAAGGCCAGUUUACUAGCUGCUUUUGCGAUUGACUGCGAAAAGAAGCCCAAAGGAAGAGUCAAAAGUGCAAUUAUCAGUGUAUCUCUUCCUCUUCUCUGAACAAUUCAAAGGAGUUUGAUCUACCUUUUCUAUGAAAAGGGACUCUCCACCCUCCGGCUUUCGUCGACCGAUGAGAGCAGUUAGUGUUCCCUCUUCAAUUAAAUCGGCAUCAUUAAAUGCAAAAUCAAUCUGUAUAGAUACAAGUCAACGAGAUUUAAGAUGUGAUACUCAAAAAAAAAAAAGAAAAAGAAGCAACUGCAGUAGUGAGAGAAAGGGUCUAACACACACUUGAAGAUUCUCUUGGUAAUGGUUUAGUGGAAUUCCUGCUUUUGCUGCCUCACUUGCACUGAAAACUGACCUGCACAUGAAUCUCAAAAGAGGUAGGUAAAUACCUUACUUGUGUGAAAUCACUAACUUUUAGAAACAAAAUUGUUUUUUUUUUUUGGAUUCAGCAAAUUUCAUAAAUUUUCGCUUACAAACAAGCCUCGAGGCUUAUCUUUCGGAUAACAUAACACCAGAGUCAAUCCUAAAUCUCCUCAAUCCCCCACACCCCCCCCCCCCCCCNCAAAAAAAAAAAAAAAAAAAAAAAAAAAUCAAAUCGAGGUUUAACUGCUAUGCAUCCAUCUUAAAUCUCUUUCACCAUCUCUCCUACCGCUCCACGCGGCAUAGUUCAUCACGUCUCCGCAAUGCACGCGAGCAAAAGUGUUAAAGCUAACGAGCAAAAGUUUCCAACCAAAUGCUAUAACAAGGAACAAGAAUGUUUUUGCGGAAAAUUGAGUGACAUCUAUGUAUGUAUGUAUGUAUGUAUGUGUGUGUGUGUGUGAGAGAGAAGAAGAUUGCUUACGAGGGUAUUCCGACGACGUCGCGCAGAGCUCCUUGUUGUAGACACCUCCCCAGAUACCGAACGGCGAAGCUCGACGCGCGACCGGAGCCCAAUCCGACCACCAUCCCACUCUUCACGAAUCUAUCCACCUGCACCACAAAACAUAUCUAACAUCAAAAUGGGAGAUCCCCAGAACUAUAUAUAUAUAUAUAUAUGUAGGCUAUUUUCGACGUAUCUGAAGCAUUGGAUUUUUGUUUUUUUUUGUAAUUGUUGUGGCAAUGCAACAACCGUUUGUUUGGCGGCCUCGAAGAAGUCGGCGUCGGCGACGGAGGCCACCGUGCUCCGGCCACGGGCGGGGGCGGAGGGAAUAUUCCGGCGGACGGACGGAACAUGCUUCGGCACGGAUAACGGAACGGUUGCAUGGGCCAUGGUUUGCGCGCCUACCUCUCCUGCUACCUCCUCAUCAUGGAGUGGUGCGGAGUGCGAAACUCUUUCUUUUGCUGAUGUGAAUUAUCGACCGGUAACGUCCUAACGGAUAAAGGACAUGGUCGUCAUUUUCUACAACGAGGGUGAUUAGAUAUUUUUCUCCUUUCUUUUUUUCUUUUUUUUUUUAAAAACUUUUCACGAUUGGAACUAUAUAUAUAUAUAUAUAUAUAUAUAUAUAUAUAUAUAUAUAUAUAUAUAUAUGGCUAAAUUAUAGAAAACUCCUAUGUCAAAAUCCGUUUUUUCAUUUUUCCUUCCUGUCAUUUAAAACUCUACACUUUGCCCCCUUGUAAAAUAAAAAAUAUGCACAAGAGGGUACGGUGUGACAAAAUGAUCAUUUUGCCCAUCGCCAUUUUCGUCUUUUCCCUCAUUCUCCUCAUCCGCGGACUCCAUAGAGGGCAUAGCAACCUGGAAGAAGGCAACGCGCAGACGGGCUUCGGGACUGCGACCGUGAGGUGGUUGUGCGCCGUCGAGCUGCUGGAGGUCGGUGGCGCCGGAGAGGGAGGACGGGAGGGGCCCCUGGAGGAGGUUGAAGCGAUGGAGGGCGGGAUGCAGCCGUCGAGUUGGUUGUGGGCGAGGACGACGAUGGAGGCCGGGGAGUCGCCGAGGUUGGCGGGGAUGGGGCCGCGGAGGCGGUUGGAGUUGAGGAAGAUGGCGUCGAGGGGGGGGUCGAAGAGGGCGGCGGGGAUGGGACCCUCGAACACGUUGAAGCAGAGGUCGAGGUAGCGGAAGGUGGGGAGGUCGAGGAUGACGCGUGGACAAAGUGGUUGUUGCUGAGGUUGAGCUCAUGGAGGAGGGCAAGGCCGGGGAGGGCGCCGUCCUGGAAGCCGUUGAAGCAACAGGGAAGAGGGGCGGAGGGGCAUUUUUGGCAUAAAAAAAAAUUAUAACGGAACCGUAACGGAACCCUAACGGCGGGGGGUGAAGUGCAAAUUUUUUAUUUUACAAGGGGGCAAAGUGUAGGAUUUUAAAUGACAGGAAGAAAAAGUGAAAAAACGGAUUUUGACAAAAGAAUUUUUUGUAAUUUAGCCUCUUCUUUUUUUUAAGAAAUAGGUAGCAUUUUUUUUUUUAAGAAAUAGGUAGCAUGCUAUCCACUUUAUUUAUUUUAUUUAAAAAUAAACUUAACUGAAAAUGAGUAUCAACUAAGAUUCGAAUUUGAGUCUCGGGUACCAACCACCAAGCCUUUUGCCACUUGCUCUAAGAAACGGCCGGUAUGAUCGAAACUAUAUGAGGUGUCAUGUUUUAGUACUUGAAAAACAAAAAAUCAGCAACGAUCGUGUACAGAAUUAACUAAUCAACAAAUAUGUUAUCUAUAUCUAUACACCUCGAAUGGAAUUAAAUGCCCGUUCGCAAGCACGAGACAAAUGUUAUGACACAAUAAUAUCUGUUUCAAUUAUGCCGCACCUCCCCAGGAACGAUGGGAGGAUUGAGUAGAGGAGAGAUCAUUUCAAGGAAGAGGUUGAAAACACAUGCAGAAACUUUCCGACAUACGACACAAUUUUAUGAAUCUAAAACCAUCAUUAUGAAUUAGAUUCAUACAUAAAUAUCAUUUUUCCUUCUCUUUCAAACUGUUAAAAACACAUCGCCACAACAUGAUAAUAAGAAGCUACUAAAUUGCUCCAGCAGACCAGUUGAAAUUGCUCAAUUGGUUAAAUAGGAGGGAACUCAUCCUGCUUACUAGAUGCCUUCACUCUUAACAUUUGGUUCUUCUCAGAACUUUCUUCUCACUUUAGGCUGCUUCAAACUGCAUGCGAUAAACACCAUUCCCGACUACAGCAUCACGCUAAAAUUGUCAACAUUAAAGUUAAUGAUGCCCUUUUAAGUAGCCUGUGUAACAACAAAUGGCAUCACAGCAACAAAUAAAACCACCUAAAUAUGGCCAAAAAAGUGAACGAUGCUCGAGCUAACAAAGUGGGUUUCUUCUGAAUCGGAGCUUUCGAAUCUUCCCUGUGCGGUCGAGGAUCAGAUUGCCCAACAAAAAAAUUUGUUAGCAGAUGUCAAGGCCAUAAUCUUCGAUGCGAACAAGAGAGUUAAAUAACCUAGUCCAGAACACCUUGUGGUUUUCUUUUUCUUGUGCGAUUUGACUGUAAGGAAUUUUGUAAGGAGUUUCAGCAAUGUUGAAUCUUUUCGGUUUUGAAACAAUUCCUGCAAGAUAUUCUCAUUUUCUUCAGCUUUGUAAUGUUGAUUUUCAGCUGCAUUGGUCAGUAAACCACCAAAAUUUAGAUGCAAACAUACACACAGCAAAUAGGUUUCCAAAAGAAAAAAAAAGAAAGAUCAGCUGCUUUACUUACCAUAGCUAAGAGCACAAACACAACUAUCUAUAAUUCGGUAUCAAAUAAAUCUCUUCCUUGCCCUCAUGUGAUUCCACAUUCAGCAACAGCCAAGCUUACAAAAUGGGUACAGUUAACAGUGCAGGAGCUCGUUCAGCAGAAUUUAUCAUGUUUUCAACCCUUGAAAGUUAUUCCGAGAAUCGAUCUGAUUUUCCUUUUUACUUGUUUAAUUGCUGAGCGCUGCAAAUAGAACAACAAAAUAGAUGAAACAACGUCAACCAGCGCGCACGUGCGCUGUACGUGCACGCCCACAGAGCAAGCUCUCGGGCGUGCACGAGAGAGAGAGAGAGAGAGAGAGAGAGAGAGUUGGAAUACCAUAGUACCUUAAUGUUGGCAUUCUACUCCUGUAGUGUUCCCAUUUUCAUCAGUAUGGGAAUUUCCAUUACUAUAAAGCAACAAGCCAGAAGAAUCCACAUUAGCAGAAGUAUUUACCAUGGAACGCGGUGUAAAAUUGUCUCCUGGUGAUUUACCAGAUUCAUUUCUCGACUUCUUUCUUGAGUUGCUGCUACCAAAAAAUAAAAUAAAAUAAAAUUAUAGACUUUAGCAAAAUUCACAUCAAUGACAAAGUGGAUAGUCCAUACUACCUUGAUGUUUCCCUUUUCUGCUUAAUGCCCAUCUUCUCAGCAGUACAAGAAUUCACACCAUGCAAACCAGGCAUGUUAGCAGGAACAUUAUCACCAGAAGGAUUUGCUAUGCCAUCAGUAGUUAAAUUUUCUUCAUCUGUUUUCCUGGAUUUAUCUCUGGACUUCCUUUGGCGACUACUGCUGCAAAAUAAGAUAUAUUAAGGCCACACCUGAAGUGAGAGAACAAAUUUCAACAAAGAGGCUAUUUAGUCUCUUAGCUCACAAUACCUGGAUGACCUUUUUGUUGACCUCUCAACUCUGACGUCCUCAGCUGUACCAGCAGAAGAUUCCAUCAGUCCAUCUGCUGCUGAAUUUUCCUUGCGACAUCUUUUAGACUUGGUUCUCAUCUUCUUUGUUUGAUCACUAAAAAAUGAAAUGAAACAACAAAAAAGAACUAAAUUACAACAAAUACUUAAAUAAUCAAAGACGAGGACUAGAAAAGACAGUAUAGAGAUAGAAAAAAGAAAAGAUCCUAUUUUAUCCAGGGUAACAAUACCUCGAUGUCUUCUCAACAGUUUCACCACUUUUAGAACUAAUUACGGUAGUAAAGUCAUUGGGACCAAUUGUCGGUCUCUCGCUCUCCCGAUCGACAAAAUUAGAUAUGAGUACGGUUCUUUUCAUUUGCCUUGCAGCUUGGAGUAAAGGCACUUCGUGAGGAAGCAGAACCUUCCAUCUCCUGUAUAUCCAACAUUUAAAAUGCUAUAGUACUGUCCUAUGAAUAAAAUUUAAGGCUUAAGUACAAAUUUAGUCACCCAGAUAUUGACGAUGUUUGUCCUUGGAUUCAAUUUCAUUCUCAGAGCUUCAACACCAAUGCUGAAGCUUGAUUUCAUUUUAAAUUUCAUACUUUUAAAUUUAAUGUGUUGCUGAUGUGAUGUCCUUGUAAUACUGUAGCAUAAAUGAAGGACUCAAUGCUUACAGAGAAAAGACUUUAGGACCCAAUUGUCACAAUUGAAACAAUGAGCAUGUAGUCAAAAUUUGGGUUCAAAUUUGAGGAAACAAAUUUGGAAUUAGUCAUUCAAUUGAUCACCGCCAAUUACAAAAAAAUAUCUUUCAUACCUCCUGCACUGACUAUCGGUACGCGGAGGAAUGCAGGCUGCAAUCCUAGACCAGCAAUAACCAUGCUCAUUUAUUGCUUCCAACAAUUUCGAGUCCUCUUCAGCUGUCCAUGCUUGCAGAUUUAAAGAUGGGUCGAGACAAUUCAGCCACCUGUAGCAGGAAUACAUCAAGUUAGUGUUGCCAUUAUAUCUAUUGCUUGAUUGUUGUCAGAUAAAAUGCACUGAUAGUCCUGUAGAUAUGUGACUUAAAUGUGACUUAGUCCAUGAACUUCUCAAUAAACCAUUUCAAUCCCUAUAAACUUUUCAACAUUUUGCAGUUGCGAUCUGCACUACUUGCCAUCCCAUGUCUUACACAAGUAACAUACUCUGCAAAUGACACUGUCUUAUAGAAUGAUCAUUUUACCCAUGCACCAAAUAAGUGAAGGGGUACAGUAAAAGGGGUAUAAUGAUAAUUUCAGAGAACUUAGUUGCAUGCAGAGCAUGAACUUGGCAGACAUUUGAUCAGCAUACACAGUUAAGGAUUUAGGUGCAAUAUGUAGGAAAGUUCUUCAGUAUCAGAUGUGCUAGGCAUUUAACAAGAAAGUUCUGUGACUAGGUUGCAAUGUUGCAAAUACAGCAACUAUCCAUACAAGCUAGCAAUGUCCUACCUUUCCCUGCAUUGAACCUGAGUCCGACCAGGAGCAAACUGUGCAAUUUUGUUCCAGUUUUUGGCCCCAAAAAGCAUUACUGCUACUUUCAGGCGCUUGUCCUCAUCCACAGACCACCUCCCCACCUUUCUCCUAUCAGGGUUUAAGGUUUUUCUCCACCUAAAUUAGAUGUGAUAAUGGUUAAAACAAGUAGGUAAGACAACCAUCCAGACAAAAAGAUAAAAUCAAGAAGUAGAGAUGCUAAGCUAGGUGACGACCAAAAAAGAACCCUAAGUAAAAUAUCUGCUAAACUUGCCCAAACAGAAGAUAUGAAGCUUAAAAUGGCAAACUAACCCAUUGUCCAUAAACAACUAGUAAAUCACAAUUACAAAUAAAAAAAGAGUACUAGUAAUAUAUAUAUAUAUAUAUAUAUAUAUAUAUAUAUAUAUAUAUAUAUAUAUAUAUAAAAUAAUAAUAACCAGCUAAAAAGUUUGUAGAUAGUUCUACAAAUUUGAAAUGAAUAUGAAAGUCCACGGUGCGGACAUUAAUGCGGUUAGCAAGACAAUAGUACUAAUUCUAUUUUCAUUUUUUACUGUUCUCUGAAAAGGUUAUGGACCAUGUCAUAACAACUAAAAUUAGAGUACCAACAUUAUUCAACAACACUCAAUAACUUAAAUUUUGCCGAACUGACAUUAUCUAAGGUGAAUUGCUGGUUAGUUAUGAGAAUUCAUGAGCAAGAGGACGUUUUUACCUGUUAGAACAUUGAGGCCCUGUACGACUAUCCAUAUGAGAAGCUACAGCCUGCCAAUUAUUAUCACCAAAAGUUUCUACAGCAGCACAGAGAGUAAUAUCUUCUUCUUCUGUCCAAUCCCUGUUCAGUAUAUGAGGAUUAAGGCUUCGCUGGUAACGUGCAAGGCACUGAAAGGGAGUUCUAUGUGUUCCCAAUGAAAUUGAAAUAUUAAUCCAGUUAUAAACGCCUCCCUCUUGGACAAUAAAUAAAAGCUUCUUAUCCUCCAUCAUGGUCCAAGGAUUAUGAUUAAUCAACGGAUCCUCACAGUUCAACCACCUAGAUUGUAAACAGAGGGAGAAACUUAGCAGUCUGCCUUAGACAUUUGGGCAUUCCAGAAUUAGUGCUUUGUGAAAUAAACAGUUUCAUGAAGUAUUGUCUAACAUCCAAAUUACCAGGACGUAGGAAUAAAUUUUAAGCUACUCUCUCAAGUAGUGAGCUUCGUGUAGUAAACAUCACAGACCCAUACCUUGCUUCACACUCCUCGCCAGAACGGUCCGGUAAAUACAGAGUGGCCAAUCGGUCCCAGUUUACUGAUGGAAGGAAAGAUCUAAUCUUUUCAGGAGGGACUUCAAGAUCACUGCUACAUAGUGCAGGCAUCAUAUCUGAACCAUGGAGACCCUCAAUGUUACUGCAAGACAAAAGCUACGGUAACGAAUUUUCACAUAAGAAAAGUUGCACUGCAUGACUAGUGUUUUCAAGAGUAAAUCAGCUCCUCACACAACUUCCAGUCCAAGAACAAAAUUUGGAUAUCAACUUAAACUUUGUAGUCAAUCUGGAUGCCUAACAGAAGGCAAAGGAGCUAACAAAAAAGAGAGAUAUAGUGAGCAGGCCUAUCAAUAAAUUUAUUUCAUAUCGUAAAAUAAGUUGGCAAUAAACAACACCAUGUAUUUGUAAUCCACACGUAAUUCAAUGAUAAUUCAAUAAAUUUAUUUCAUAUCGUAAAAUAAGUUGGCAAUAAACAACACCAUGUAUUUGUAAUCCACGCGUAAUUCAAUGAUAAUUCUAUCAAAUUCUAUCGAACACAAGCACUUAAUGAAUAAGUUGCACUUUCAAAAUUAGUGCGAUAGGUACCUGUCAGCAUUCAUCAGAUUGCACAUCAACAUCUCUUGAUAUUGUUGCUUGAUUCCUUUAGCUAGUUUCUCUCUUUCUGUAUUUGACCAUGGUUGUUUGCGAAGUGAGACGGGAAAUCGCUCUUGUACCAGUUUGUAUUUUGAAACUUGAGAGUUCUCUUCUGGGCCAUAAUAUAGGACAGGUAAUUUCCUGCACGUGUUCUGAAACCAGCCACAAACCAGCCAAGCAUAUUAAUUCAUGCCGCUAUGUAUUUUCAUUAAGUAUUAAACCAAGCUGUAAUGAAAAAAAACCACCGAGAACCACACAGCCAGCCAACAAUGAGACAUGGGUGUGCAAGGAUCUGUGUUCUCUUAUCUCCUAUUAACAAGUAGCUAAAUUCAUUGAAUUGAAAAUUGAGAUAGACAUCAGUUUGGCAAUAGAAAUACACAAUAAAGCAUAAAUUUUAAAGGAUGAACACAGAAGAAAGAGCACAAUGUUACACAGCACAAUCUUCCAACUUAAAACAUUCAACAUUACUAACAACAAAGCAAACAGAUACAGAGUAUAGAAGUACAGCCACAAACCUUCUGAGGUUGCCUACUGCUUGGUUUUUGAUUUGAGAUUAACCUGACACGAGGAUCCUUCUUCUGGCACAAAAUGUGCCCCGCAGUCUUUUUGCAGGCAACCUGAAAAUCCAUAAGACAUUUAACACGAUCUUUCAGUUUCUUAUUUUCUUCAAUCUUUGCUUCAAUUUCAAUCAGCUUCCGCCUGAUGAAUUUCUGGCAUGACCUGUUCUUCUUGAGGGCAUCAACCAAGGCUUGUGCAGACUUUGGAAACUGGGAAUGUGUAAGGGUCCUUGCAUUGAAGUUGAGAGAUUUAUUCUCCCCAUGGUGUGACACUUUCGCAGUAGAGCCAGAAUACUCUUCACUUAGAACACCUCGUUUUCCACCCUUAGGAAAUAUAUCAGGGGUGCCUUGCUUUGACAUCAAACCCGAGUCAUCAGCUUCUUGUACAAAACUUUCAGACGUUCGUUGUAGAGCAUCUAGAACAGCAACUUUUUGAGAAUUAGCAAAAAUUAUAACAAAAAUCAUGCUAGCAAAAAUUAAAAUCUCCGAACCGAGGACAAAAAAAACUGCAGCUGUAAAAGUAAUCGUCUUUUUCAAUCAAUGAAGGAAAGUACCAAGGGACAACUAACUAUACCAAAAAAAUAUCAAAAGAAAAAAGAAAUAAAGGUAAAAAUUUUCGCCCCUACGAGUCAGUAAACAUGGUAACUGCAAGUUAAUGUACAUAGCAGCUCAUAAAAGGCCCAUAAUUUGCUUUUAGCUUUAAAGCGUACAAUGCUAAAGACUACAAAAACAUAUAAAUAACUAAGAUGAUCCCAUACCCUAACAGAUGAAUUUGCUCAUCUAGAGGAGAUAUUCCUUGUUCGUCCUCUUCUAAAGGAUGUUUCUUGGAUAACUACAGGCCGAGCAAUAUUCCAACUUUCCAUAGAUCUCAAUUCUCAUGGAACAAAAGGGAAGACCUCAUAAAUAGAGCACAUCCUCUGAAAAGUUCGGCCUAAUAAAUCUCCUCAGUCCACACCAAAGAUAAAGCCUAAAUUGAGAGAAUAAGUCGAGAGUUGUCGGAAGUGCCCUAGGAGCCUUGAUGUGAUCAUAACACAAAACGUAAGGAAAAGCAGUUCUGCUUCCAAAAAUAACAAUAAGUUCCUUCUAACUUCACUAAUCAUUCAGUAGUACGCCAUGAAUUUUGACAGUGCCUGAUUUUCAAUCAUUCAAAGGAUUAACUAAAUCCUUCAAAUCUACUCAGUCACGCAAAGCCUAAUAUUCCGAAUAACUGAUACAAUUUUCAUCUGCUUUGACUCCGCCAAUCCGCAUGAUAAUAUGAGUGGAAUUUUGGUGUUAUAUGUGAAAUUUCUAGUCUUAAUUAACAGAAAAAAAAAAGACAGAAUAAUCUGAAUUUAUUCGCCGUUUCUAAUAACAAAUCACGCUUUCCACAUUAUUCAGCAUUGGAAUCACACUAACAAGAAUAGGCCAACCCCUACUAGAGCAAGAGCACGAGUAAACAUUCAAAAGCACCCAACCACUCACCACUCUCAUAGUGAGAGAACCGCCUCUGGAUGGCGCGUAGGGUUUCGAAAUCGUCCUCCUCGUCCGAAUCCGACUGCGGGAGGAUGCUCAGGGGCUUGACGAAGGGGAGCGACUCCGAGGCCCCCGCCGCGGCGGAGGGCACCGAGAACCGCUCCUGGAGGCGGCGGAGGAGGCCGAGGUCGUCGGAGUCGCUGCUCUCGCCCCCGGAGUCGGAGUCGGAGCCGCCGAGGGCGUCGGCGGGGUCGGCACCGGUGAGCAUGCACGCCCGGCGCAGAGCCUCCAUGUCCUCGUCGAGGGCGUCGUCUCGGUCGCUGUCGGAAGAAGCGUACGACGCCAUGGAGGAGAGGGAACGAGAGAUCGGGUUUAGGGUUAGGGUUUGGUUGUUGCGGGGAGAGAGAGGGAGAGAGAGGGGGGAGUGGCGAGGGCGAGGGAGAGGAGGCUCUCGGGCACAUAAAAGCGCACGAAGAAGCGCCGUGCGAAGGAGAACGAUGCUCCGUGCUCCGUUACGCUUCUCGGUUUAUAUAUAGAGAGCAUAAACGAUCAAAUAAAAAAUAAAUAAAUAAAUAAUUUUCAAUUUUCAAUUUUCAAUUUUUCAAUUUUAAAAUUUAAAAUUUUGACUAUGUUCUCAACAAAAUUAAAUAAAAUCCAAAAUCUGUGUUGAUUUGUCGUUUACGUUAGUUUAAUUUUGCAAAACAAAAAAAAAGGUGAAAAUAUUUAAAAAAACUCACAUAAAGUAUAGAAUAUUUAAAUUUUACUAUAUAAUCGUUCAAAUUUUUGAUUUUAAUGCUUAAUUUUUUAAUUUAUUUGAUUUAGUUUGUUUGAUGACUCUCCAUAUAAUAGUUGCAUUAAUACAAAAAAAAAUAUUAAUUAAAUCUGAAAAAAUAAACUACUGAUUUAAAUUUUAAAGUUAAAAAGCCAAUACUUGACUUAUAUUAAAUAAAUUAAAAUAUUAUAUAGCAAAAUCAAAAAUUUAAAAGCUAGAUAGCCAUGAUACAUCUAACGCACUUUCUCACUGCAUAUAAUAUAAUCUCUUCAUAAGAGAAUUUAACUGUGGGUGUUUAUUUAAAAUAACUGGAAAUAUAAAAAAGGUAUUUUAAUAUUAGCUUUUUAAGAAAAAUAAAUCAAAAAAUCGAAAAUUUUUUAAGGACAUAAGCAAUUGCCCCUAAUUUAAUUUAUCUUAAUAAACAACUACAUAAGAGUCCGCAAAACGAGAAAAAAAGAAAAAAUUUCAAAAACCAUCCUUGUGAUUUUACAUUUUUUUACUUUAAUAUCUUAUGAUUUAAACUGUAUCAAUUUAAUGUCCUGUGCUUUUAUUUUUAUUUUUUUAUUAUCGAUUAUCGGUUAUCGAUUCUACUAAUUUUUUUUCGUUAAAUAAAUAAUAAUAUUAAAAUUAAAAAAUACUAAAGUAAAUAUUCCCUAAAUUUAAAGUAACAUAUCCGAAAAUUUUUGUAUAUUAAUAAAAAAAAUGAUGAAAAGAUAAAAAUAAAAUUACAAAACAUUAAUUUGAUAUAUGCGAAACCACGGGAUGGUAUUUGAAUUUUGAAGUGAACCCAAAAAACAAAAAAUGUAAUUCCCUGUCUCCACGAUCGAACCAAAUCGCCAUGGAAGAGCUUCGUCUCCUCGCUCCCAUUCCUUCUCCUCCAACGACGACGACGAGAGAAGCUGCUUCAUCUACACUUCGUUUCCCUUACCUCUGCGCGAUUACUACUGCGAAUUCAAUCCCUUUUACGUAGCUCGCUCUUCUUCUUCGUGUUCUGAAGCAAAUGCGGUGAGUCGAUCAUGGCGUUUUAUAUAUAUAUUUUUUCGAUCUCUUUGAUUUGUAUGCUUUUUAUAUGAUGUUCAUUUGAUGAUGAUGAUAUCAAUAAUAGCUUCGAUUUGUAGUCGAACGAGCUAUAACAAGGUUUUUAAAAAAAAUGAAAAGAGAGAGAGAGCAUGGAGAUCCCCUCAACUAUAGGGCAUUUAUAAAUAGGACCUUUUAAUUGUUUUGGUUUGAGUUAUUUUCCUUAAUUGAAUUGGUAUUCGAAGGAAUUAAUUGUUCAAUAUCUAUUCAUCAUCAAUAGUUAAUCAAAUUUGCAAUUCCGUUAGCUAAAAGAGUGUUCUAUUUGUUCAAUUUGUCAGGAUCACAGUUUAAUUUCACAAAUUUUUGUAUUUGAGUGAUGCAAAUGGCUUAAAUCUAAAUAAUCCUGUGCAUUUUUUCCUUGUGAGAGAUAAAAUUUCAAUGGUUUGUUCCUUUCCAGGGUUAGAGUCACUUAGGAUUACUGAUAACAUGAUGUUUAAUUCUCUUGCAUAUUUCACACCACAUCCAAAGGUAUUGAUCUUUUUUUGUUUAUCUUUUGUUUUUUUGGAUUGUUAAAUAAGCAUAGAAGAGAUACAAAAUGAAUAUAAUUCUAAGGUUUGAACAAAUUACAAGGUCUAAUGCCAGAGACUUUCAAUAGCUCUUGUUGAAUUCGCUUAUUUGCAAACAGAGAGGCUUCUUCAUUCACCUCCUCUCUAUUUCUUUUCUUUUUUUGGUCAAUCUCAUGCGACAUUGAAGGAAUUGGCCGUGCUCUCGACAAAUUUCCUGGCUCCCUUGAACCAUCUCUUGUCGCCGGCUUGUGCUUUGCAUAUGUAGAGCUUCCCAUCAGAAACCGUUGCUGUGAUGAGCUGGUGCUUCCCGCCCUCGUCCCCGUCGGCCGUCCUUGUCAGGACCGAGAGGAAGUAGUAUUGCUUCCCGCCCACCACCGGGGUCGAGGUUUCUAGUAUGUUCGCUGUUGCUACCGCGUCGGGGUCGAAUCCACCCUAUCGGAAUUCAUUGGUUUAGAUUUACGUAACACGAACGAUGGCGAUAAACAGUUAAUAGAGAUCAGUAAAUUGAUGAUCUUCAAUGUACCUCAGCAUCUGUUUUCCCAGAGUAAGCUUGUUUUCCUAGCAAGUAAUCAACCUGCAUUAGAAGUAGUCAUACUUGUCAAGUUUAUACAAUUUAUGACAAAGAUUUGCAGCCCAAGAAGAUCACUAAUCUUAGCAUUGAGCCUGACUAGUAUAGCAUUGUUAUCAAAACACCGAUCCUAAUACAAUAAUCUUUGGAAUGGUUUGUGGGGGGUUAGUGUGAUUGUUUACUUUUGAGAGGAACUCCUCGGGGGAGCCGUAGUCGGUAAUGGACUUCUUGUCGGUGGGGGUAACCAUGACGGCGACAUUGCUGGUGGUGUCGAAGUUGUCCUCGUACCUCAGCACCUGUCCCGGGUACUCCACCUCCUUGCUCGGGUUCCACUUCGACGGGAUCAACAGCUUGAACCCAUCCCCAUUGUACGGCAAGAAGUCCGUGUUCGUCUUCGGCUUCCCGAAGACGUUUGCUGCGCCCAGAUAAUAUAUGCUCAGUGUUUUUAGAUGGGUAUGAAAAUCAGAAACUUUGUUUGCUCUAGUGUUUUUUCUUUCCUUCGCAUUUCACCUCAAUUUAUCUUCAAGUUAUCUGUAGAAUUGUUUAGUUUACGAGAUAAGGGGAAAAACUGUAAUGAAAAUAAAUGAUGAGACCUUUGAGAAAAAAAAAAACAUUUGCACCUUUUCUUACUCUUUCUUGUUAACUCAGCUCUGUAAAAACAGUUGAUCAUGCAAAUGUAAAGCUUUUAUUCUUUACUUGUUCUUUAUUUUACCUUAAUUGUUCUGUGCAACUUCUUUUGAACAUAUAAUGCUUUAACUAGAGGAUGAUACUGGUUAUGAUCUUUUGGUAUCUGAGAGCUUUCCUUUGUUCUACUUAUAUAUAAUUUGAGAGUGUUAGAUUACUAAGAUUACCAGCUUCUCCGUAGGCUGCAUCGGCCGGCGACACCUUUGUGCCGAGGGCGGCGGAUCCGAGGAGGAUGGUGAGAGCGAGGCGGCGAGAGAUUGCGGCCUCGUUCUCGCCCUCAACCCCCGCCUGCUGCUUCUGAGCUCUGCAGACCAGCUGGGCCGGCCUGGCGCUCUGCCCUGCGCGCUGCAACAGCGCGUGGGCGGCAGACGGCACGUGGUGGUGGAGGAAGCAAGCAGUGGAGGCCAUCUCUCUCUCUGUAACUUCUCUCUGCCUCUCUCUCCUCUUUCUCACUUGCUCUCUAAGUUGGCUUUGAGUCUAAGGGGUUGUAUGGGUUAUUGUUGUGGUAUGUGUUGUUGAUGUGUGGAGGGGGAGUGGAUUUUGUGUGGAUAGUGUGUGGAUGUGGUGAUUGGAUGAUGUUCAGAUUAUUGGAUAGGGUUUGCUGAGAUCUGAUUGGGCCACGUAGGACUGUAAUGUUCUCUCAUCCUCUCUCUAGAAUGAUAUGUUUCUAUGCUGCUGCUACUGCUGUUACCUAGUUUUGUUGCUGCACAUGUAUUAUUCAUUUCAAUAAUAAUUUAACCCUACAUGAAUGAUUAGUUCCACAUGUUGUUUUAUUUUCCUCCCUCAAUUUUUUUGCCUCACUAAUUUUCCAGGGUCAAAUUAAUGGUUACUCACUGUACUAUCAUCUAUGCUUAAAUAUUUUAGUACUUAAAUUGUUGUAGAUAUUGUAUGUUUCUUUCCAAUCAUAAGAAGAAACAUACAAUUCGUCCUUGUUUUCUCAAGAAGCCCAAGUGUUUCAAUUUGGUAGUAAUUAAGAUAUAUUAUGGUAUCAGGAUUGUACAAUUAGUCCUUGUUUUGUUACAAUACAUUCAAUUCACUCACAUUGAAUAGCAUCAUUCAACAAUUGCAUCGUUUAAACAAAAAAGGGGAGGAAAAAAAAAAAAAAAAAAAAACUCAAUUGUGUCCAUUAAGCAUGGAGGAUAAGAGGGAAUGGAGAUGGACAUGAACACCAAGAAAGGAGAAGCUCGGCAACGGCGGAAUCUUCGGCGACGGGAUCGGCGGCAGCGAGAAGUCCGGUAUCUCCACCGACAAGUUCGGCAGCUUCGGAAUGGCCGGAAUAACGGCCGGAAGGUCAGCGCGAAGAUCCGCGGGAAUGGGCGGAAUAUCGGCUGGAAGGUCAGCGGGAAUCAUGUCCGCGAAAGAUGAUACAUUUGCCGCCGCUGCCGCUGCCACCGCUGUCGCAACUGCGUCCGGAGGUAAAUCCGUUAAAAGCCGCGCGGCAUCGCAAGAUUUUACAUCGGAGACGGAGAUCGCCGCAACUAAGAUUGCGAAGAAGAGGCGAUUCAUGGAGAUUAUCCUUAAAAAUUCUAAUGUAUUUCGUGAAGGUAGAGAUGUUUAUGUAUGAAUCUUUUAUUAGAUUACGUAAAUGAAAUGUUUAUAGGGUGCUAAAAUUUGGAAGUUGCAGGAAUAGGUAACUCUCGGUUUGUGGCUAAGAGUGAUUUGAGCUUGGAACGCAAUUAAAUAGUCAACAUUUUUGAAUUGGGUCUCUUUGAUCUUUGGAUAUUGCAUGAUUGCCUUCUCACUGGGUAUUAGUCACAUGAUAGUCCCUGAGAUAAUUUGUAUUUGCAAUUUGCCCCACAUUGUAUCUAAAAUUAAUCAUUCAACUAAUUUCUAGUCUCUGAUGAUUUUUUGACCUACGCGAAUUGAGACACCAAUUAAUGGAUGCUAUGUGUCGCGAUAGAUAUAAUCAAAGCUAAAACUUUUUUUUUAGUUUAGAAAAUAUUGUUUUUUCCUAUUGAAAUUUUUUUUUUACAUUUAAGUACAUGGAAUUCUCCUAUUUUGGCUUAUGCGAUGCAAAUUUUGCAGAGUGCACAAAAAACAGCAGCGAAUUACUGACUCGACAGUCCAUUUAAAAUGUGAAUAUCGAUUUAAGUGAUAAUCAGACAGAUAGACUAAUUGGUAAGUAAGAUGAAUAUACUUUUACGAACAAUGAAUAAAAAUUUUAGGAAAAAUUUCAAAUACCACCCAUAUAGUUUCACACUUUUUUACUUUAGUGCCUUGUGGUUUAAAGUGUAUCCAUUUAGUUCCCCGUGGUUUCAAUUUUAUCUUUUUAUUAUCGAUUUCACUAAUUUUUUUCGUUAAAUUAAUGACAAAGUUAAAACUAAAGGAUAUUAAAGUGAAUAUUCGAUAAACCUAGGUAAAGUAUUUGAAGUUUUUGCAUAUAUUUAAUUAAAUAUUAACGAAGUUACUGACGAAAAGAUAAAAAUGAAACCCCAGGACACUAACUUGACACACAUAAAACCACAAGGUAGUAAAAUAAAAAAGUACGAAACUAGAGGAGCGGUAUCUAAAGUUUAUGCGCACCGAAACCUGAAGAGAAUUUGUAGCACAUGUAAAAUUAAGACCACAUUUUAGCAGUUUUGAGGUGUAUUUGUGAUGUGGUAUACAAGGUAUAGUGAAAAAAUAACCCCUACCAUAGAUUGACAGUUGUAAGCUUAGAGAGAUAAUAAUUGUUAGGAUUGGUGAACUAACAACAAAACACAUCUACCUCUUCUCAUUUUUUUUCUCACCAAAGCAAGCAACUUUAACCCAAUUGAAUCCCAACCACCAAUCUAACCCUAAUCUCCUCCACAUCAACUCCCUUUCCCUCCUCACUAUAUAAACACCAUAUAAUCCCCAUGCAAUGCUAUAUCUCAUCAUCACAAGCCCCAAGUAGUAGUAACCAAUCUCCAACACCUAAAGCUCUAAUCACUUUUGUGAUACUCUCUCCCGCUUCUCGCAUGGCUUUUAAAACAGCUUCUCUGCUCCUCGCGGCUGUGCUUGUUCUCGUCGCGACCUGCACGAGCAACGCAGCCCGCCGGCUCGAAGACGCCACUCCUUCCACGGAGGUGCCACCGAUUCCGAAGGUUGAGGAGCCGCCUAUCCCGAAGGUGGAGGUGCCACCGAUUCCGAAGGUGGAGGUGCCGCCUAUCCCGAAGGUGGAGGUGCCACCGAUUCCGAAGGUGGAGGUGCCGCCUAUCCCGAAGGUCGAGGAGCCUCCGCUCCCGAAGGUCGAGGUGCCGCCGAUCCCGAAGGUCGAGGUGCCGCCGAUCCCGAAGGUCGAGGUGCCGCCGAUCCCGAAGGUCGAGGUGCCACCGAUCCCGAAGGUCGAGAUACCGCCGAUUCCGCACAUUCCGGACAUCCCGAAGGUCGAGUUGCCGCCGAUGCCUGAAAUUCCGACCAUCCCGGAAAUCCCGAAGAUUCCCUUCCCCUUCCACGUCCCGCCUCCGGCCGACGACCAUCCCGCCACCGCAGCAGCACCAUGAGGUGUUACAUAUACAAAGAGAGAAGUGUUGGUGACGAGCCCCGGGUGCUUGUUUCCUGUGCGUGCAUGGUACGUACGUACGUAGAUGAAUAAGAGUUUAAGGAGUCUACUUAUAGUAGAGGGAGAGUCCUUAUAUAUAUAUAUAUAUAUAUAUAUAUAUAUAUAUAUAUAUAUAAUAUAUAUAUGUAUUUGCUUGUGAUUUGCUUUGUUUUAGAUUUGUUGUGUUUGGGAGUUUGGGUUUUACUUUAUUUAUUACAUUGUUGUUUAGAUUUUGGUUUCGUUUAGUGUUCGUUUAUGUAUAUAUACAUGGUCGGAAUAUUACAUUUUAUGAUUUACCAAAUGCAAUAAGUAUUUCUUUAUUAAAUAAUGCGAAAUAAUUUAUCCUGCAUUACUCUCCAAAUACUUAAAUUAUCAGAUAACGGUAUUUUUAAUAUUUAUAUUCAAUACUUCUUUUCACAUCUUAACUCAAAAUUUUUCGAUAGAUCCACCACGUGAACUUAAAUUGAAUUGGUUAAAAUUUUAUACUCUGAUACCAUAUUGAAUUAAAUAAAAUAAUCGUUAUUCUUCAAAAAUUUUAUCUUUAACUAUGAAAUACGAAUGUCCCCGACUGUACCUGUUAUGCAUGCGCCACGCACUUUGUUAGACACUAUUUCUUUGGACGUUUGAUUGGUUGGUGGGGUACAUCAAUUCAUAAAGAUCAUCUAAGAAAUGCUCUUUGUAUUAAAACUAUCUAAUUAAAAAAAUUAAUAUUUCAUUAUUGUUUCGACUUGGCACGAGACAGUGUUGGGCCCAAACAGGUUUGAGCCUUACAAGGACCAAAAACGUAAAUGGGCCCAAUUUGGGCCCAUAAUGGGCCUUGGUCCAUUUCAUUGAAACUCAGAAUCUAUUGAACAAGUAUAUAAAGCUAUUCCAAUUAAUUGCAAAAUGUAAGGGGCCGUUUGGUCGGAUGUAAUUAGAAAUGCAAUACUGUAAUAUACUGUUAGAGAUGCAAUAGUUAUAACUAUAUAUAUCUUAUUUGGUUGGAUGCAGUAGAAGACAUUGCAAUUAUAAAUAAUUUGUUUAAUUGUGUGUAGUUGAAAAGUACAUUUAUAAAAUUUUAUAUGGCCUUCAAUAUAGAAAAAUUAUUAUUUAUUAAAAUGAUUAGAGAGGUAAGUUUACUUUUUAUACUCUAUCCAACUGCAGCAAUUGGAACUACGCCACUGCUGCAGUUGGGCCUCCUCGUGUAGUUCCAACUGCAAUAGUACGGAUUCGAAUGCAUCAAACUAAAUACUGAAUUUAAAUUUACAUAUAGUUAUAAUUGAAGCAUACGUAGUUGUAAUUACAUGUAACCAAACGGCCCAGCUCUAAAAGUUAUUCUGAGUUUAUAAUUCUUCCAGGUACCGUUUGGUUCGGGUAUAAGCAAGAACUAGCUAUUAUAGGAAUAGGUACAAGUAUGGGAAUAAAAAAAAUAAUGUUUGGAUGAAAAUUGGGUUGUUCCGGAGGAUAAGAAUAAUUUUAGGUAGUUUUGUAUAGAAAAUGAAGGUGUUGGUGAGAAUAACCGAGAACUACUAUUCUCGGCUAAAAAAUUAGCGUUUGGAUAUAAAAGGGGAUAAGGGCCUAUUCCUAUCCCUAUCUCCUAACCAAACGCUACCCCAGUUGCUAUGGAUAAGAAGUUACAUGAUAUAUCAUUACCAAUAUAGGAAUAAUUAAUAUAGGUUUUUAAGGCCCUAUUUUUGACUUUUUCCUUUACUUUUUUGACAAGAUAUUUUAGUCAAAGAUACCUGGAUGUGGAAUAAGAUCCUGUUAGAGGAUAAGGUUGAGGAGCUUAUUCUUUUUAUGGGUAAAGGUUAAAUGAAUGAGUUUUGGGACCUUAUAAAGUUGAAGGUAUUAUAGCUAAAAUAAAAUAUGUUGGUUAAAUUACAUUUUUUGCAACUUUUGACUUGAAUUUUUUAGAUUGUUGCAAUGGAGUCUCAUGAUCCAAUUUAAUUAAUGAAAAACUAAUGUGUCGCUAUUAGCAAUAACUAAAAUGUUUAUAUUACUGUAUUUAAUAUAAAUAUCAAAAAUAUUGUUCUUCGACAAUUUAAACUUUUCGAGACAAACGAUUGUUUCACAUUUUCAACAUAGUAUGUUCCUCACUUCAUUUAAUUUAUUCACAUUUAAUCAAGCUUAAAAACUCUUCAGCGCAUAGCUUCAUUUAAUUAUUUCACAUUUAAUAUUCAAGUUUAUUUAUUUAGUCUAUCUAAGAGUCUCGAAGCAAGACAUAUUGAAAAGUUUUGAAUAUAAAAAUAUUAUUUUCUGACAAUAUAAAUUUUUGAAGGCAAAAUAUUAUUUAAUAUUAUUUGACAUAUUAUUAUAUUAGCAACAAAGUAGUAUUUAGUCACUAAAUUGAACUAUAAAACUUAAUUAUAAACAUCAAAAAAGUUUGUCACUUUGGAUGUUUCUCAAUUUUUAGCUUAUUUUUGUCAUUUUCUAGAUAGUAAACUCUAUCCAAAAAGCUUUGUUUUGCAACUCCAAAUCUUUUAUAUAAGGGUUAAUUGCAUACACGUUUCUAUAAAUAUAUUGAAUUGCAAAUAUAUUCUUAUAAAAUGCAACUUUUAUAUUUUGUCUCCGUAAAAAUUCUAAUAUAUUCAAAUAUGCUCCUGCUGUUAGAAUCCGUUAUAAAAUUUUAGUUAAUCAUAGGUUAAAUAUUUAACCUUGAUUAGUUUAUAAAAUAAUUUAAUAUUUUUAUUUUUCUUAUAUUAUACUAUUAUGACUUUUGGAGAGAUAUAUUUAUGAUGACAAAAUUGAAAAUAUAAACAAUUCUCUAAUGGUAACAAAACAGAGAGAUAUAUUUGAAAAUAUUAGAACUUUUGCAUAAACAACAUAUAAAAGUUAACUUUGUAGGAAUAUAUUUGUAAUUCACUAUAUUUGUAGAGGAUUGUAUGCAUCUAAUCCUUUGUUAAAAUACGAAUACUGAGUAUAAUUGGGCACUUUUGUAACACUUUUAUAUAUAAUUUAAAGAACACAAAACCACCGAAAUACCCUACAAUGUAACUGGGCACGUCACAGCUGUAACAUUUAUUUUAUUUUUUUAAUUAUAUACAUAUAUAAGUAACUUAAUAAUUAUUAUUAUUUUACUACAAAGUGUUGUAAGUGUUAACAUCAUGAACUGUAAAUACAGUAUAAAUACAUAUAGAAUGUGAUCCGAUCAUCUUAAUAAAGUUUUGCAAUCCAAUUUAAAAAUUAAAUUUUGAACUUAGUUGAGAUGAUAGUAAGAUAAAAGAUUAGUAAUUUUUUUUUUAGCAUAGAAUAAUUGAAACUGAGGCUACAAUUAAAGGGUUAUUUUUUUGUAAUUUAAUCAUAUAUAAAUAAAAAUGUUUGCUAAUAUAUAAGGACCCAUUUUGUGGGCUAUCUAUCAUAGUUAAGCAUUAUUUUUUGCGCUUUCUAAUAAAACUGUGGAAAUUAUAUCUGAAUAAAAUCAUUACGAUCUACACAAUGCAAUAUAUAUAUAUAUAUAUAUAUAUAUAUAAAAGCACGUAUAUCAAAUUUGGGUCUGUCGACAGACUCAUUUUUCGACGGAAAAAUUUAGCGCCCAUUUUCCUCCUUCUGUACGAAAAAAUUUUAAAAAUAAGAAUAAAAAUAGAAAUAAAAACAGUAAUGAAUACGUAAUUAUAAAUUUUUUAUUUUAAUUUCAAAGUAAGUUUUCUAUAACAGAUUACGGGUGUGACAAUCUAUAAAAGAUAUUUUUUAUUUUAUUUUAAAAUAUCUUUUUUAGAUAUUAUCUAUUUAAUUUCAAAAUAUAUUUUCUUUUUAAGAUAACGGAUUUUAUUUUUCUAUUUAAUUUCAAAAUUUUAUUUCCUAACAUAUUUUAUUUUUCUAUUUAAUUUCAAAAGUAAUUUUUGCAUUAGAGAUUAUUGUUAAUUAUUUAUCAUUUAAAGCAUAUCUUUCUUAAUAGCGUGAUUUAUUAUUUUAAAUUUUUUAGAUACAUAUUUGGCAAUCAUAUAAAAUAUGGCCUAAAAUUAAAAAAUAAUUUAAAAAAAUUAUAACUUUUUCUAAUAAUUAUUACGUGCAUUUGUACGUACAUUUUACUAGUAUAUAUAUAUAUAAUGAAAUGUUGUCCUACCACAUUUUUUAUCAUAUAUAACAUAUUUUUCUAGUAAUCGCAGAUAGAACCUAAGGCUACGCUGAAAAUUAUAAGCAAAUUGAAUUUAUAAGUAAUAUUUUAUUAUGCAUAUUGUAAUGACUUGAUUAAAAUAUAUUUUUUGCUAUUUCAUCAGAAAAAAAAGUAGCGUAUAUUUCUAUAUGUCAAUUAUAAAAAAUUAAUUUAAUUAGCUAAAAAUAUUUUUUAAAAAACUUUUAAAAUUAAAUAUGUCAAUUCUAAAAAUAAAAUAAAAUUUAAAGCAAUUUCAAAAGAAAUGUAGUUGGGGGGUUUUCCAUGCAUAUUUACCAAAUUAAGAAAUAAAAAAAAGGAGAAGAGAAAAUGUGAGCCACAUGGCCUUGUCCCAUUCCUUCACCACUAAAUUUUUCCCCCCUUAAAAAAAAGAAAAAUAAAAAAUAAAUGGGAGGUAAAUGAGAGAAGAGGAUCUUUUUGUGGCCAAAAAUUACUUGGAAAAUAAAUGAAUGGGUGGUGUUAAAAUAUUAUAAAAAUGACUUGGAAAAAAAAAAUGAAUGGAUGGUGUUAAAAUAUUAUAAAAGUGUUAGAAUAUUCUUGCUCUUUUUCUUAAGAGAUAAACUUAGCAAAUUCCCCAAAAAAAUUCUACCACUAUUUAACAAAAUUGAUGAGUCAUAUAUGAUAUUUAUUUAUAUUUAUUUUUAUUGAAGUAUUAAUUAAGAAUAAAAAAAUAUAUGAGUAGUUUGUGAUAUUCUUUUAUCUUCAGAGAAUUAGUUGAAAUUAAUUAUUAGUUGGAUUGAAGUGUUGAAUAUAAAAUAUUUAAAACAUUAUUUUUUUGUAAUUUAGUUUUUUUUUUAUUUAAUUCAAGUUCACGUUUUGGAUCUAUCAAAAAAUUUUGAAUUUAAAUGUGAGAAAGAGUGGUGAAUAUAAAUAUUAAAAAUAUAGUUUUCUGAUGACUUAAGUUUUUAGAGAACAAAAGUCUCUUCAUAAAAUUAGCUAGUUGUAUAAAUUAAAAACGAUGGAUGUAAAAAUUUACACCUAUAAAAUAGGAGUACAAGUUAACAUGUAACAGCUCACAUAUAGCAUCUGCUUCUAACAUCGCUUUUUAUUAAUUCAAUCUUAUUUUUUAGCAUGGUAUCAGAAUAAGAGAUUCAGAAUUUGAGUCAUCGAAAAUUAGUAUUAGUAAUUUUUUUUCUAUUUAAUUCAAGUUCAUAUUUUAAACCUAUCAAAAUAUAUAAAAAACUCUUAUGUUGAUCUUUAACACUAAACUCUAGUGAAUAAUCUUCGAAUUAGAAACUGAUCAUUACUAAUCGACGAGUUGUUUUGAACUUCAGAUUAGAAAUUGUUCAAACAGUGAAUAUAUAUAAAUAAAGCUCCAGCUACGUCAAACAGAUAUGCAUUCAAAUAAACUAGUGUUUCUAAUAUCUUCUACGCCCACAGAAAUAAGGGUGAGACAGAAGCUCCAACCGCAUCAAACAGAUCCGUUCGACAAAACUAGCUUUUUUUCUUUCUUGAGAAAAAUAAAAUUUACAAUACAUUAAUUGCACGCCCACAGAAUCAAAACCAAAGAAUUUGUAUCUCCCAGUACUUCAAGGACAUCCAGUUAUUUUUACUCUUUUUUUUUAAAGAAAAUGGUUUCAAUUUAUUGCAUGCAUACAUGCAUGCAAUUAAUUUAGGAUAAACUUCAAAUAACAUCUCUAUAGUUUCGUGCGUUCUCACUUUGGUACUCUAUACUUUAAAGUGAUUUCAUUACUUUGUGAUUUCUUUUUGUUUUUUUUCGUCAGCCUCUCCGUUAACUUUCGCUAAAUCAUAUAUAAAAUACUUCAGAUACUUCAUUUAUAAUUUAUCGAAUAUUCACUUUAAUACUCUUUAGUUUUAACUUUAUUACUGAUUUAACGAAAAAAAUUAAUAAAGAGGAUAACAAAAAAAGAAAAAUAGAAAUUGGCUCGUUUAACAAUUGAUUGAGUUUAAAUCGGAUCAAAUUUCGAGUUGAGCGUAGUUUUAGCCCUGGUUAAUUGAAUCAAUAAAAUUACUCUCUCUCUCUCUCUCUCUCUAUAUAUAUAUAUAUAAUAAUAAUAAUAAAUUUGAAAGAAUUAUAAUUUUUUAUAUAAAUUUGAUAAUGAAUAAUAAUUUUUUCUAUUGUCCGAUGCAAACACAUGCUUUCAUUCUAUAACUACUCGAUACUUACAAAAAUUUUGUUAAAUUAUAGAAAAAUUAUAAUAUAAAAUUUAGUGCGGGCACUGUAAAUAUUCAUUAAUAUUGAUAUCAAUAUUACAAUUAAUAAAUAUUUUAAAAAACAAAAAUUAAGUUAAAAUAAAUAACAAAAUUAAAUAUAUUUUAAAGUAGAAAAUAGGUGAAUAUUAGAGUAUAACGAUACAAUUAACUAUAUUUAUUUAUAUUAUGUUUUUAAAGCUAAAAAAUGAAACAUAAAAAAAAUAAAAUAAAUAAAAUAGUGAACACGACGAGACCCUUCCCAAAUUGGGAAGCGGCGUAAGUCAAAAUUUAUGCGGUCAUUGGAAUCGGCAACGCUGACGAAAAUUACGGCUGCAUCAAAUUUCGCGCUCAACUCCUCUCCGGGAAAAAAAAAAAUGUUCUAUGCGGACGUACCUUCAUAAGCCAAUAUGCGGGGGGAAUUAAAAAUUUCGGUUUUAAAUAUCUUAUUAUAUUUCUAAUCUGUUUUUAUUAAAUAAAUCUUUUAAGUAACACAAAAUUAGAGCCCGCUCUAAGCUCUCUCUCAAUUGAAAGAGAUCGUAUAAGUUCAUUUUCUAUAAUCAUUCACUUAUCCACAUAAUAUUAUUACAUAAGAAAAAAGUUAUUAAAAAUUUAUAUUUAGAUUCUAAGCUUAAUUUCUUGUUAAAUUUUAGAUUUUGCUGAUGCGUUUGGUGAGUAAAUUACGAUGCAUUCAUGUACAUAAUUUGGAGGGGUUUAGAUCCAUUCUCUGAAAUAAGUACGAAAUCAAACAAAAUAUAUAUAAACUGGUUUAAUUCGUCGGAUUUUAAAGAUUGGUUUGACAAAGAUAUCUAAUUACUCAUCGUAGUCGCAUUUAUAAAGAACUUUAUAUAACUCUUUUUUGGAAAAUAUAUAUAUUACUUACACAGCUACAUUUGAUGCUAUAUAUAUAUAUAUAUAUAUAUAUAUAUAGAGAGAGAGAGAGAGAGAGAGAGAGAGAGAGUGUGUGUGAGACUAUUAUGCUAUCGGAAGCACGGAGCAUUCCGUGCUUCUAGCUUGUUUUCGAUGUUGCGACUUUCGAAUAGUCGAUCGGCUCCAUUAAACUUGAUCUAGAGUAUUUGGAGUACCUAGAAAAUAAAUUUUAUAAUUUUACGAUAUCAUUUGCCUAGUGAACGAAAGGGCUCAAAAUCAACGGCUGAAAAUAAAAAUCUUACAAAAUGUAAUAAUAUGACAUUAAAAUUUUAAUCAAAGAUAUUGAUCUUGUUUUAUAUAGUAUAAAAAAUUUUCUAUUAAAAUUUCACAUGAUUUGGAUAUUUCUACACCGUUAAACUUGCAAACGGCUCACUACGGCCAUUGAAAUUUGUUGAUUUUGAGCCCAUUCGAUCACUAGGCAAAUGAUUAUUGAAAUAUAUUAAUAAUAGUUAUUCUUGUAGUACUCCAAAUAUUCUAAAUCAAGUUUAAAGAAGCGCGAUCGACGAUUCGAAAGUCGCAAAUCAAAACGACUGGAAGCACGGAAGGCUCUGUGCUUCACGAUUGCUCAUAGUGCCUCAUCUAUAAUAUAAUAUAUACUAUAUAUUAGAGUAGGGCUAUGUAAUUAUUGUAAGUAUUCAUGGGUGAUACUGUGUGUUUUUAGCUUUGGAUGGAGAGUAUUGGUGGGUUGAGAGGAUGGUUGAUUAGGUGGUGGUUAGUGAAUGAGUAUUUAAUCCAAGGGCUAUUAAUAAUCAAAAGUAGUCAAAUGGCUUAAAACCUUAUAGCACUGAUGAUGAUAUUGUAAAGUUUAUAGUCAACUCGUAUAUAUAAUAUAUUAGGAUAUAUAUAUAUAUAUAUAUAUAUAUAUAUAUAUAUAUAUAUGCCUUAGUAAAACUUUCGUAUUAUUUUUGUCUAUGCUUAUUUAUUACAAAUAUGGUUAUAAAUUUUGUAUGUCUGCGUCAGACUCUUGUUCGUCGUGGACACGUUAUGAAUGCGCGUUUGUCCGCAUCCACAUUUCGACCCAUUAAACAAUUAAAAAAUCUAUUAUACUUUUUUUACUUAUAUAUUAUAUGAGAUGAUAAAAGUUUUGUUUCUUCUAUGAAUAUAUAUAAAUUUAUUUUGGACGAUAUAUAUAAAAAAAAAUUAUGCAUGGUGAAACUUAUUUUUUCUUUAAAUAUAUGAGCUAUCAAUAAAAAUUUUAUUCACACUUAAUCAUAUUAAAAUUAUAACAAUAUUUCAAUAAUAUAUAUAUAUUUAUAUUAAUAAUAUUAUAUUUUAUUAUAAGUGUUCAUCCGUAUUCGUAUUUAUGUCUGUGUGUGCGAGGAAAAAUUCUAGAAUGUAACGGGUAUAUUAGUGACGUGGCGUAACAAACCAAUCAAAUUAAUCCUUUUAAGAAUAUAUGUCCCAUCAUAAUUGUAAAAAAAUAUUUUUAUUGUACUUUUAUUUAAAAAGAAGGAAUGUGAUUGGCUUGUUAUUGAUGACGUGGUGCAAGUGUGACAGUGUAGAAUUCCUCGU